GACGAACGCUGGCGGCGUGCUUAACGCAUGCAAGUCGAGCUAUGAAACUUUCUUCGGGAAGUGGAUUAGCGGCGGACGGGUGAGUAACACGUGGGCAACCUGCCUCAAAGAGGGGGAUAGCCUUCCGAAAGGAAGAUUAAUACCGCAUAAUAUAUUUGGAGCGCAUGCUUUAAAUAUUAAAGAUUUAUCGCUUUGAGAUGGGCCCGCGGCGCAUUAGCUAGUUGGUAAGGUAAUGGCUUACCAAGGCGACGAUGCGUAGCCGACCUGAGAGGGUGAUCGGCCACAUUGGAACUGAGACACGGUCCAGACUCCUACGGGAGGCAGCAGUGGGGAAUAUUGCGCAAUGGGGGAAACCCUGACGCAGCAACGCCGCGUGAGUGAUGAAGGUUUUCGGAUCGUAAAACUCUGUCUUCUGGGACGAUAAUGACGGUACCAGAGGAGGAAGCCACGGCUAACUACGUG
rnacentral:rRNA from 1 species